rnacentral:rRNA from 1 species
GACGAACGCUGGCGGCGUGCUUAACACAUGCAAGUCGAGCGGAAAGGCCCUUUCGGGGGUACUCGAGCGGCGAACGGGUGAGUAACACGUGAGUAAUCUGCCCCUGGCUUUGGGAUAGCCACCGGAAACGGUGAUUAAUACCGGAUACGACCACUUCUCGCAUGGGAUGGUGGUGGAGAGAUUUUCGGCCAGGGAUGUGCUCGCGGCCUAUCGGCUUGAUGGUGAGGUAAUGGCUCACCAUGGCUUCGACGGGUAGCCGGCCUGAGAGGGUGACCGGUCACACUGGGACUGAGACACGGCCCAGACUCCUACGGGAGGCAGCAGUGGGGAAUAUUGGACAAUGGGCGGAAGCCUGAUCCAGCAACGCCGCGUGAGGGAUGACGGCCUUCGGGUUGUAAACCUCUUUCAGCAGGGACGAAGCGCAAGUGACGGUACCUGCAGAAGAAGCACCGGCCAACUACGUGCCAGCCGCCGCAGUAA